rnacentral:rRNA from 1 species
AACGAACGCUGGCGGCAUGCCUAACACAUGCAAGUCGAACGAGACCUUCGGGUCUAGUGGCGCACGGGUGCGUAACGCGUGGGAACCUGCCCUUAGGUUCGGAAUAACUACCCGAAAGGGGUGCUAAUACCGGAUAAUGUCUUCGGACGAAAGAUUUAUCGCCUUUGGAUGGGCCCGCGUUGGAUUAGAUAGUUGGUAGGGUAAAAGCCUACCAAGGCGACGAUUCAUAGCUGGUCUGAGAGGAUGAUCAGCCACACUGGGACUGAGACACGGCCGAGACUCCUACGGGAGGCAGCAGUGGGGAAUAUUGGACAAUCGGCGAAAGCCUGAUCCAGCAAUGCCGCGUGAGUGAUGAAGGCCUUAGGGUUGUAAAGCUCUUUUACCCAGGAUGAUAAUGACAGUACCGGGAGAAUAAGCUCCGGCUAACUCCGUG